AUUGAACGCUAGCGGGAUGCUUUACACAUGCAAGUCGAACGGCAGCGCGGACUUCGGUCUGGCGGCGAGUGGCGAACGGGUGAGUAAUGUAUCGGAACGUGCCCAGUAGCGGGGGAUAACUACGCGAAAGCGUAGCUAAUACCGCAUACGCCCUACGGGGGAAAGCAGGGGAUCGUAGACCUUGCACUAUUGGAGCGGCCGAUAUCGGAUUAGCUAGUUGGUGAGGUAACGGCUCACCAAGGCGACGAUCCGUAGCUGGUUUGAGAGGACGACCAGCCACACUGGGACUGAGACACGGCCCAGACUCCUACGGGAGGCAGCAGUGGGGAAUUUUGGACAAUGGGGGCAACCCUGAUCCAGCCAUCCCGCGUGUGCGAUGAAGGCCUUCGGGUUGUAAAGCACUUUUGGCAGGAAAGAAACGUCGCGGGCUAAUACCCCGUGGAACUGACGGUACCUGCAGAAUAAGCACCGGCUAACUACGUG
rnacentral:rRNA from 1 species